AACUUUUUACAACGGAUCUCGUGGUUCUCGCAUCGAUGAAGAACGCAGCGAAAUGCGAUAAGUAGUGUGAAUUGCAGAAUUCAGUGAAUCAUCGAAUCUUUGAACGCACAUUGCGCCUCCUGGUAUUCCGGGAGGCAUGCCUGUUCGAGCGUCAUUAAAAUCACUCAAGCUUAGGUUUACCUAUUGCUUGGUCUUGGAGAUGGAAGCCAAUUUAUUGGAAUCCUCUUCGAAAUUCAAUGGCGAAGACCCUUGCUCUCCCAAGUGUAGUAAUAACUUAUGUCACUGAAGGAAGCGAGAAAUCUUCUGCCGUAACCCCCAUAUUUUCUAUGAUUGACCUCGGAUCAGGUAGGGAUACCCGCUGAACUUAAGCAUAUCAAUAAGCGGAGGCU
rnacentral:misc_RNA from 1 species